rnacentral:rRNA from 1 species
AAAUUGAAGAGUUUGAUCAUGGCUCAGAUUGAACGCUGGCGGCAGGCCUAACACAUGCAAGUCGAACGGUAACAGGAAGCAGCUUGCUGCUUUGCUGACGAGUGGCGGACGGGUGAGUAAUGUCUGGGAAACUGCCCGAUGGAGGGGGAUAACUACUGGAAACGGUAGCUAAUACCGCAUAACGUCGCAAGACCAAAGAGGGGGACCUUAGGGCCUCUUGCCAUCGGAUGUGCCCAGAUGGGAUUA